GACGAACCGAGCGAACGUUGUUCGGAUUCAUUGGGCGUAAAGGGCGCGUAGGUGGCCACCAUAAGGCCGCGGUGAAAGUUCGGGGCUCAACCCCGAAUCGGCCGCGGCGACUGUGGGGCUCGGGUACUGUAGAGGCAGAUGGAAUUCCGCGUGUAGCAGUGAAAUGCGUAGAGAUGCGGAGGAACACCGAUGGCGAAGGCAGCCCCCUGGGCUAGCACUGACGCUCAGGCACGAAAGCGUGGGGAGCAAACAGG
rnacentral:rRNA from 1 species